UAAUAAGUGGUUUUAUGGCACUUUUUAAAAUCCAUAUCCACCUUGUGUGCAAUGUCAGUCGAUCUUUCUUCAUGGAGAUCGAACCAAACAUCAACCUUUUAUUUUUUAACUCUUUGUCUGAAAAAUAUUAUGAAAUAAAACAAUUCAAAAUA
rnacentral:misc_RNA from 1 species